CUGACACUAAUUGACAGGAGAAUCAACUGUGCGCAGAUUUGUGUCGCGGAAUUUUGUUUGUGUUUGUUGUUGUGGUGGUGAAUAACUAAAACAGCGGAUUAAUCUUUGCCCAGAUACGUCGUUCUUUCCACGAUGUCUUUGGCAAUCCAGCCUUAUGUAUCCAACGAAGUGAGGUUCGAUCCGAAUUGGAUUGAGCAAAUUCUAUUACAAAUCGCUGACGCAUUUGACAUCCGUAUACAAUGGGAUAGAGACACAGCGAUCAUGACCGGAGUGUUCACAGUGGCGGGUGGCCUGAUCGGUGGGUUCGCCGGUGGGAGGAUGGGGGCAGCACUCGGUGCUGGCAUCGGUGGUGCGACGGGGUUAGGAGUUUCUACAUUGGUCUCGCUGCGAGAGAUUUGGGACACAGUGAAAGAGAAACUAAAAGAGUUGCUGUACAUCGUUUUCAACUACCUAAGGCGCUUGGACCCUGUGGAUUAUGCCCGGGCGUUUGAUAUCCUCAUGGCAUGCACGGCCAGUCGUCGUGAGCUGGUUUUCACGAUCUUAGAUUUCGUUGCCCAUAAACUGGGAAGGGAAGUAUUCUCAAGUAUUACUGUAGCUUAGAAACGGAAAUUAAAAUAGUUUAGUAGCAUCUUUGACAAUAUCACUGAGUGAUAAUAACAGAUUUGUUUUAGAAUGUGUUUUGUUACGUAGGUAGGGUAGGAUUGGUGAUUUUUUUUCUUUAAAAUCUUAAUUCGUAGUCAAUGUGUAUAUUUUUUAAGUUUUUUUACAAUUUGUAGUUUUAGUAGAGUUGCACACAUUUUGUCAUUAAUAGAUUGUGGAUUUUUAUUUUUGAUAAUAGUUUUAAAUGUAAUACUACAAAAUAAUAUGAAUCUAAUGUUGUGGUGUCUAUCAAUUAGUUGAUAUAAUUUAUUCACAUGUACCUAAUAAAAAGCAGGUUGUGAGAUUAUGUAACCGUCCCAGAAAUAAUUAGUUAAAUUU